UAGGGUAUAGCUCAGCGGUGGAGCGCAUGCUUAGCAUGCCUCUGAGGUCCUGGGUUCAAUCCCUAGUACCCCUU
rnacentral:tRNA from 1 species